GGGCAGGGGAGCAGCUCUCUGCCCCUACCAGCCAUCUGCUCAGCCCCUGGUCCCCUGCACCCCAGCUCCACACCUUAGCCAUACACCCAACUCCCCACUCCAGAGCUAUAGCCCCAGCCUCUCGCCCCUUGGCCAUGUCCCCAGUCCACAUCAGGCCCUUGUGACCAGGUCCCAGGAACAUAUCCUGGAGUUCAAGGAGCUAGAGUUGCCCAGCAAGAAUCAGUGGCCUUCUCCAAGAACUGGAGCUACCAAGGGAGUCCAGGAGCCCUGCGCUCUCUGGAAACCCCCAAAGAGGCAUUGUGAUGGUUCUGCCUUCCAAUAUGAGUACGAGCCACCAUGCAUGUCCUUCUGUGCUCAGGUCCAAGCUGCAAGGCUCCCUUCCUAGCUUAUGGCCUGUGCCUUGCAUUUUCUGAUGGAGCCACAGCCAGAGUCUGAGCCAACUCUUGAUGUAA
rnacentral:lncRNA from 10 species